rnacentral:misc_RNA from 1 species
GUAACGGCGAGUGAAGCGGCAACAGCUCAAAUUUGAAAUCUGGCUCCUUCGGGGCCCGAGUUGUAAUUUGCAGAGGAUGCUUCGGGUACGGGUUCCUUCCGAGUUCCCUGGAACGGGACGCCAUAGAGGGUGAGAGCCCCGUCUGGUAGGACACCCAGCCCGUGUGAAGCUCCCUCGACGAGUCGAGUAGUUUGGGAAUGCUGCUCUAACGGGAGGUAUACUCCUUCCAAGGCUAAAUACCGGCUGGAGACCGAUAGCGCACAAGUAGAGUGAUCGAAAGAUGAAAAGCACUUUGAAAAGAGAGUCAAAUAGCACGUGAAAUUGUUGAAAGGGAAGCGCUCGCUACCAGACAUGGGUUCGGCGGUUCAACCGGGGCCACGCCCCGGGGCACUCCGCCGGCCCAGGCCAGCAUCAGCUUUCCGUCGGGGGCAAAGGCGUCGGGAAUGUGGCUCUCCUUCGGGGGAGUGUUAUAGCCCGGCGUGUCAUACCCUUCGGGGGGCUGAGGUACGCGCUUCUGCAAGGAUGCUGGCGUAAUGGUAGCUAGUGACCCGUCUUGAAACACGGACCAAGGAGUCAACCUUAUGUGCGAGUGCCCGGGCGUAAAACCCCAGCGCGGAAUGAAAGUGAACGUAGGUGAGAGCUUCGGCGCAUCACCGACCGAUCCUGAUGUCCUCGGACGGAUUUGAGUGAGAGCAUAUAGGGUUGGACCCGAAAGAAGAUGAACUAUGCGUGUGUAGGGUGAAGCCAGAGGAAACUCUGGUGGAGGCUCGCAGCGGUUCUGACGUGCAAAUCG